AGGGAAUCUUCCACAAUGGGCGCAAGCCUGAUGGAGCAACACCGCGUGAGUGAAGAAGGGUUUCGGCUCGUAAAGCUCUGUUGUUGGAGAAGAACGUGCGUGAGAGUAACUGUUCACGCAGUGACGGUAUCCAACCAGAAAGUCACGGCUAACUCCGUGCCAGCAGCCGCGGUAAUACGUAGGUUGCAAGCGUUAUCCGGAUUUAUUGGGCGUAAAGCGAGCGCAGGCGGUUACUUAGGUCUGAUGUGAAAGCCUUCGGCUUAACCGAAGAAGUGCAUCGGAAACCGGGCGACUUGAGUGCAGAAGAGGACAGUGGAACUCCAUGUGUAGCGGUGGAAUGCGUAGAUAUAUGGAAGAACACCAGUGGCGAAGGCGGCUGUCUGGUCUGCAACUGACGCUGAGGCUCGAAAGCAUGGGUAGCGAACAGG
rnacentral:rRNA from 1 species